CAUCGUAUUACGUGGAAAAUGAACAUAGGGUUUUGUAUAGAAUUAUUAUUUAUAAUUUAGUUCUUGCAUUAAACAUGAGAUAAAUAAAUUGUUGGUUAAAUAUAUACAAUUACUAAGUUUUAAAUCAUAGUGACAUGGAAAAAUGUAGCAAUGACCAAAUUCUAUUUUCUUACACCUACAAUUUAUUUAUCUUAAUUUUAUGGCAAUUUCUAAAUAUUAAAAACACAUUUACUCUAAUUUUUCCUCAUUCAUAAUAUUGAAAUCCUC
rnacentral:lncRNA from 1 species